UACGUAGGGUGCAAGCGUUGUCCGGAAUUAUUGGGCGUAAAGAGCUCGUAGGCGGUCUGUCGCGUCGGCUGUGAAAACCCGUGGCUCAACCCCGGGCCUGCAGUCGAUACGGGCAGACUAGAGUGCGGUAGGGGAGACUGGAAUUCCUGGUGUAGCGGUGAAAUGCGCAGAUAUCAGGAGGAACACCGAUGGCGAAGGCAGGUCUCUGGGCAUUAACUGACGCUGAGACGCGAAAGCGUGGGGAGCAAACAGG
rnacentral:rRNA from 1 species